rnacentral:lncRNA from 1 species
GAUGGAAGAUUUUCAAUAUAGGCAAAGAAACAAAAUACUCUGAACAGGCCCCCAGACCAAUGAGAACAUCAAACAAGAUGAAUGAAAACGGAGAGACAAAAGUUUUCAGCGGAUCCUUACUCGGACAUUCUCCAAAAUUCGUGGAAUUGAUUUCUCUCUCUCUCUCACCCUUGCUCAAUCCCGACGCAGGUGAAGGUGACAUAGC